AAUCUGAAGACUUGAUUAAUUCCUACCACUGAUUAUACACGACAUUAGUGGCUUACCAUAUUAUUGGGUUUAUUCUUGAUAAACAGGGCUGGUGACAAAAGCAUUGGACCUUUCCUCCUAGUUGCAUUUCAGACCAGAUAUAAGGAGGUUCUUGUGAAGGCACAUACUGCUGCAUCUGCAGUGGCUUCCAAGCACUUGACACUUCUAACAAAUGAAGAGGUUAAAUUAUGCGAAGCUGGUCAAUCAUCGACAGCAGCAUUCAAGAAGUGGCGGAUGGGAGGGCCAAGAUUGCAAAAAGCUCCUGUUCUUGGUAGGAAGAGGAAACCAAUUGAAUAGGUGCUGUUUGUUAUAUUGUGUAAUGGAUGGAUGUCAUUACACGAAUGCCACUGUAGGUAAGAGAUUAAUGAGAAUAUUCAGUUAUGUUCUUAAGUAGGUCAGGAAUCUGGAGAAUAAUUUUGAUGCUAGCUUAUGCAGUUUUAUUUAAUGCAACAAAUUAUUCUAGGAAUCAGAAAAUUUAAAGACAAUCUUCAAUACUGUUCGUAGUUCCUUAUUGCCUCCC